rnacentral:rRNA from 1 species
GACGAACGCUGGCGGCGUGCCUAAUACAUGCAAGUAGAACGCUGAAGGAGGAGCUUGCUUCUCUGGAUGAGUUGCGAACGGGUGAGUAACGCGUAGGUAACCUGCCUGGUAGCGGGGGAUAACUAUUGGAAACGAUAGCUAAUACCGCAUAAGAGUAGAUGUUGCAUGACAUUUGCUUAAAAGGUGCAAUUGCAUCACUACCAGAUGGACCUGCGUUGUAUUAGCUAGUUGGUGGGGUAACGGCUCACUAAGGCGACGAUACAUAGCCGACCUGAGAGGGGGGUCGGCCACACUGGGACUGAGACACGGCCCAGACUCCUACGGGAGGGAGCAGUAGGGAAUCUUCGGCAAAGGACGGAAGUCUGAUCGAGCAACGCCGCGUGAGUGAAGAAGGUUUUCGGAUCGGAAAGCUCGGUUGUAAGAGAAGAACGAGUGUGAGAGUGGAAAGUUCACACUGUGACGGUAUCUUACCAGAAAGGGACGGCUAACUACGUG